rnacentral:rRNA from 1 species
UACAGAGGUCUCAAGCGUUGUUCGGAUUCACUGGGCGUAAAGGGUGCGCAGGCGGCCGAGUGUGUGAGGCGUGAAAGCCCGGGGCUUAACCCCGGAAUUGCACCUCAAACUACACGGCUAGAGCAUUGGAGAGGGUAGCAGAAUUCAUGGUGUAGCAGUGAAAUGCGUAGAUAUCACGAGGGAUACCAGAGGCGAAGGCGGCUACCUGGACAAUUGCUGACGCUCAGGCACGAAAGCGUGGGGAGCAAAAGGG